rnacentral:lncRNA from 1 species
CCUGCUGCCAACCAGCACCCCUAGAUGAUUCAGUCUAACUCUGCAAGGCCUCUCGUCCUUCCAGGGACUCAACUGCAUCUCCCAGUUCAGUGUCAUCCGUAAACUUGCUGAGGAUGUGUUCCAGUCCUGCAUCCAGAUCACUGAUAAAAAUGUUGAACAGGACUGGCCCUAGAAUUGAGCCCUUCAGAACAUUGCUAGUGGUGGGCCACCAGCCAGAUAGAGCUCCAUUUGCUACAAUCCUUUGAAUAAUUGUCUUUGAAUAUAGCUGUUGAAUAAUUGUCUCCCUUCAAAACUUCUCUUUGUCUCCUUUCAGAUUUGUGAAUGCACCCUGAUAACAGUUGUGUAUGGAAAUAACAACGAAAUAUCAAGUUAAGACCUUCUUCUUGAACAAAAAACUUGGUAGAAAUAAUAAUAAAGAAGUGUAAAUAAAUGAAGGACAUAUGUUCCUGUUUCCUCACUGGACUUAAGGAAUGCUUUACAAAAUCAAGAUUUCUCCUUGGUGAUGCUAUUCUGGGGCACAUGAUGAGGAAUAUGUCAGAAGCCUGUGAUCAGUUGGGAAGAUCUUUCCUGCCAGAAGAACUUGGAACUGAAGUAAAAGAAGUGGUCUUGUUGGAAACUCUUUAAGCUCCAUCAACUAGAAAAAAAAAAAAAAAAGAGGGUUACUUAUCCAUUGCAUUCUGAUAUGUUCAUUGUGUUAUGCAUCCAUUACUGCACUGCUUCUAAAACUAAACAAAACAAAAGAUUUUUUAUUUGUGAUAUAUCAGGGACCUAGAAGAAAUUCUUGAUUUAAAAUUAAAUUAAAUUAAAUUAUCCCCACAAAUUAUCCCUGUUUUGAUUUGAGGUCUACAAAAGGUAUGAACAGUUAUAAGCAGUUAUAUCCUGAUGUUGUUGCUGGUUAGUGAUGGGUUUACGUAGAGAAACAUUCAUAGCUCAUGAGAGUACUUCUGAUCUCACAAUCUGAUUUAAUUUUUUUCCCCUAGUAAUGCACAGGUGCCCAGCAUGAUAUAAUCUCAAUAGUUUAAUACAUUUUCCAACUAGAUAGGCACAAAGAUAAAGAAUGAACUUUCAGGAACUUCUUUCUUUCUGGCAUAGAGGUAGAAACACAAGCCACAGUGGGCAAAUAAAAAUUUUCAAAAGUAUAUAAAUAAAUCA